UUUUGCACGUGUGAUUAGGGAGCGGUUAGAGGACACAUGCAGGGUGAUCCUCACGUGAAGGCGUGCUUUGAUGCGGUGCGGUGCACUAAAGUUGGCAUGUUCCUUCAGGCGCGCCCACACCUGUAUUUGCCUGGUCCCCCAUGAUUAAUCAGAUAGAUCGUUUGGAUUCAGAAAGUUCUGAUUCGGAUGCUACUCAGGAAUCUGAAUUUUUUGUGGAUUGGCGAGCGCAAAAUCAUGGCCUUGCUUGUGGCGCCGGCUCCUCAGGCGCGUCAUCUUCUCCUGGCGAAGUUGCGCAUGUUCCCCUUUUUCCCAUUCUUGGAGUCAGGAGCAUCAAGACUCCCCUCCCACUGAAUCUACUUAUAGCUUGGACGCCGACCUUACCCCUUCUGAGCUACAGUUGAGGUAUGACUUAGAGCAAUUUGUGCGUUCGUUUGAGCUGCAGGACAAGGAUCUGGAUGAUCCAUCCAAGCUAAUUAAGAAAGUCCAAUUUGUGGAGACUAGGAUGGUGAUUAGAGGGAAGGAUGCCGCCCAUCAAAGGAGGAUUUUUGUAUGUUGGAGGCCAUGAAGGAGGAGAUGAACACUCCUGCUGUUCCCGUGGUGGAGGAGGAACAACCUUGUGGUGAUGACAGAGUCGUCCCUCCGGAGAUUGCCCUUGCCGCAAAGGCGGCUGAUUCUGCAAAGGGUUAGAGUCUGUCCCGGUUGUUAUGGGAGAGGGCGACUCUAAAAAUUGUACAUUCCAAUAACAACCUUGGAGGACAAAUUCCAUCAUCACUGAUAUAUUUGACUCUUCUUUCUUUUUUUGAUUUAUCAUAUAAUAACUUAAUAGGUCUGAUUCCAACUAAAACAACUGAACAAUGAAAAUUAAAUUUUUUAGGUAUGUCUUAUAACAUGUUAAAUGGAACAAUUCCACGUUGGUGUUUUUCUAUUUGUUUAUUGUAAAUGUUGCAUCUAAAUGACAAACAGGUUAGAGGGUCAAGUAGUGAA